GAUGAACGCUGGCGGCGUGCCUAAUACAUGCAAGUCGAGCGAACAGACGAGGAUCUUGCUCCUCUGACGUUAGCGGCUGACGGGUGAGUAACACGUGGAUACCCUACCUAUAAUACUGGGAUAACUUCGGGAAACCGGAGCUAAUACCGGAUAAUAUAUUGAACCGCAGAGUUCAAUAGUGAAAGACGGGUUUGCUGUCAUUUAUCGAUGGAUCCGCGCCGCAUUAUCUAGUUGGUAAGGUAACGGCUUACCAUGGCUACGAUGCGUAGCCGGCCUGAGAGGGUGCUUGGCGUCACUAGAUCUGAGACACGGUUCAGACUCCUACGGGAGGCAGCAGUAGGGAAUCUUCCGCAACGCGCGCAAGCUUCACGCAGCAACUUCGCGUGAGUGAUGAAGGUCCUCGGAUUGUAAAACUCUGUUAUCAGGCAAGAACCAAUGUGUAAAUACCUCCGCCCGUCUUCACGGUACCUAAUCAGAAACCUCCGGCUCACUACCUG
rnacentral:rRNA from 1 species